rnacentral:rRNA from 1 species
AACGAACGCUGGCGGCAUGCCUAACACAUGCAAGUCGAACGGGAUCCUAGCUUGCUAGGUGAGAGUGGCGGACGGGUGAGUAACACGUGGGAAUCUGCCUUUUGGUUCGGGAUAACCGCGGAAACUGCGGCUAAUACCGAAUGCCCUCGAGAGAGGAAAGAUUUAUCGCCAGAAGAGGAGCCCGCGUCCGAUUAGGUAGUUGGUGGGUAAAGGCCUACCAAGCCGACGAUCGGUAGCUGGUCUGAGAGGAUGAUCAGCCACACUGGGACUGAGAUACGGCCCAGACUCCUACGGAGGCAGCAGUGGGGAAUAUUGGACAAUGGGGGCAACCCUGAUCAGCAAUGCGC